rnacentral:rRNA from 1 species
UACGUAGGGUGCAAGCGUUAAUCGGAAUUACUGGGCGUAAAGCGUGCGCAGGCGGUUAUGUAAGACAGAUGUGAAAAUCCCCGGGCUCAACCUGGGAACUGCUUUGUGACUGCAUCGCUGGAGUGCGGGCAGAGGGGGAUGGAAUUCCGCGUGUAGCAGUGAAAUGCGUAGAUAUGCGGAGGAACACCGAUGGCGAAGGCAAUCCCCUGGGCCUGCACUGACGCUCAUGCACGAAAGCGUGGGGAGCAAACAGG